AGCGAACGUUAGCGGCAGGCUUAACACAUGCAAGUCGAGCGAGAAAGAGGGGCAACCCUUGAGUAAAGCGGCGGACGGGUGCGUAACACGUGGAUAAUCUGCCUUCUGGCGGGGAAUAACAGUCCGAAAGGAUUGCUAAUGCCGCAUGUGUCUGCGUGGUUUCCGAACUGUGCAGAGAAAGAGGGCGCGCGCAGGGGGCUCUCACCAGACGAUGAGUCCGCGUCCCAUCAGCUAGUUGGCGGGGUAAUGGCCCACCAAGGCAGAGACGGGUAGCUGGUCUGAGAGGAUGACCAGCCACACUGGGACUGAGACACGGCCCAGACUCCUACGGGAGGCAGCAGUGGGGAAUAUUGGGCAAUGGGCGCAAGCCUGACCCAGCCAUGCCGCGUGAGUGAUGAAGGUCUUCGGAUCGUAAAGCUCUGUGGGAAGGGACGAAAAACCGGGGGUUAAUACCCCCCGGCUUGACGGUACCUUCUUAGCAAGCACCGGCUAACUCCGUGCCAGCCGCCGCCGUAACAC
rnacentral:rRNA from 1 species